rnacentral:lncRNA from 1 species
CGGAGGAAAGGGCGCCGGGGAGGUGCUGGUUCCGGACGGACCAGAGCAGAGAGGCGAGGCCCGGGCUGCAGCGGGACUGAGCGCCGUGCUGCGUUUCUUCGUCCGAACAGCCUUUGGCUUGGUAUCUUGCAGCUGAGCUCUCUACACCUCUGUUCCUCUGUCUAUAAAGUGGGCUGAUUAGCCCCACUUCACAGAUACCAACGCGUGCAAGCGUGUGUAACAGUCUAUCAGUGAGUCCCAAACACUGGAUUCCAUACAGAAGUCUGUUGAAAUUUACAUCAGUCUAAAAAGAAAAAAUAAGAUUGCCAAAUGAUUUUUUCCAGGCUAUGUUCAUGUCAAGACAGUACUCCACUUAUACCUCCAAUCACAGCUAAAACCUCAGUGGCCCCAGGAUGUCGUGAUAUUCCAGGGCAGAACUCCAUCAGCUGAAGAUAUCCUGGCUCUUUGAGAACCAAGUAGAAAGAGAAAAGUUUCACCUGGAAAAGGACAAACUGCUAAUCCAUUUAAGUUCCUCAUUGACCUAAGAUCUUCAUCAGCAUAAGUUCCUCGUUGUCCUAGGAUCAUCACUGCCCUCUGAGUCAUCUGUUACUCUUGAUGUACCAAAUAAAGGUAUGGCAAACUUGGGGUGCCUUCAUCUUUGUUGCCUAGAGCAGCAUUGAUCAGGCCCAAAGCUCAGCUUCUUUUCUACGUCUCAUUUCCUGUCUUUAUUCAUUAAUUUGCCUUGUGGUGUUGUGGCUCACAUCAGACCAGAACGUCCCCUUUCUCUUUUCCCUACAGUAGAGGACUCUUUGAUACCCCAGGCAGAGAGCUUGUCUAAAAAUAAGGUCAAUACAAGGAAGCUAAGAAAUGUCCUGAUGACAGUUUGAGAACCUGGAUCCAACCAUAUCUGAAUGCUACUUCCUGCAUCAUUCUGUUAGGGUGAGCCAAUAAAUUCAGCUUUCCCUUAAGCCAGUUUGAAUUAGGGCUUUUUUUUUUAACUUCCAAUCAACAUAAGAGCAAACGGGGG